UUUAGGUUCGGAAUAACUCAGGGAAACUUGUGCUAAUACCGAAUGUGCCCUUCGGGGGAAAGAUUUAUCGCCUUUAGAGCGGCCCGCGUCUGAUUAGCUAGUUGGUGAGGUAAAGGCUCACCAAGGCGACGAUCAGUAGCUGGUCUGAGAGGAUGAUCAGCCACAUUGGGACUGAGACACGGCCCAAACUCCUACGGGAGGCAGCAGUGGGGAAUCUUGCGCAAUGGGCGAAAGCCUGACGCAGCCAUGCCGCGUGAAUGACGAAGGUCUUAGGAUUGUAAAAUUCUUUCACCGGGGACGAUAAUGACGGUACCCGGAGAAGAAGCCCCGGCUAACUUCGUGCCAGCAGCCGCGGUAAUACGAAGGGGGCUAGCGUUGCUCGGAAUUACUGGGCGUAAAGGGAGCGUAGGCGGACAUUUAAGUCAGGGGUGAAAUCCCGGGGCUCAACCUCGGAAUUGCCUUUGAUACUGGGUGUCUUGAGUAUGAGAGAGGUGUGUGGAACUCCGAGUGUAGAGGUGAAAUUCGUAGAUAUUCGGAAGAACACCAGUGGCGAAGGCGACACACUGGCUCAUUACUGACGCUGGGGCUCGAAAGCGUGGGGAGCAAACAGGAUUAGAUACCCUGGUAGUCCACGCCGUAAACGAUGAUUGCUAGUUGUCGGGAUGCAUGCAUUUCGGUGACGCAGCUAACGCAUUAAGCAAUCCGCCUGGGGAGUACGGUCGCAAGAUUAAAACUCAAAGGAAUUGACGGGGGCCCGCACAAGCGGUGGAGCAUGUGGUUUAAUUCGAGGCAACGCGCA
rnacentral:rRNA from 1 species